UGGGGAAUAUUGCACAAUGGGCGCAAGCCUGAUGCAGCCAUGCCGCGUGUAUGAAGAAGGCCUUCGGGUUGUAAAGUACUUUCAGCGAGGAGGAAGGCGGUAAGGUUAAUAACCUUAUCGAUUGACGUUACUCGCAGAAGAAGCACCGGCUAACUCCGUGCCAGCAGCCGCGGUAAUACGGAGGGUGCAAGCGUUAAUCGGAAUUACUGGGCGUAAAGCGCACGCAGGCGGUCUGUCAAGGCGGAUGUGAAAUCCCCGGGCUCAACCUGGGAACUGCAUUCGAAACUGGCAGGCUAGAGUCUUGUAGAGGGGGGUAGAAUGCCAGGUGUAGCGGUGAAAUGCGUAGAGAUCUGGAGGAAUACCGGUGGCGAAGGCGGCCCCCUGGACAAAGACUGACGCUCAGGUGCGAAAGCGUGGGGAGCAAACA
rnacentral:rRNA from 1 species